rnacentral:rRNA from 1 species
CGGACGGGUGAGUAACGCGUGGGUAACCUGCCUUGUUCUGGGGGACGAACAGUUGGAAACGACUGCUAAUACCGCAUAAGCGCACAGCUUCGCAUGAAGCAGUGCGAAAAACUCCGGUGGUACAAGAUGGACCCGCGUCUGAUUAGCUGGUUGGUGAGGUAACGGCCCACCAAGGCGACGAUCAGUAGCCGGCCUGAGAGGGUGAACGGCCACAUUGGGACUGAGACACGGCCCAA